AAAAUACACACAAGACAAAAUAGACAAUAUUUGUUGAAAUUUAUAUAGACAAACUUUGGUCUAAAUUGUUGCUAGGGGUUUGUACAUGAGUUCUGAAUAAAGUCUCUUCUAUGAGACUAGCAGCAUCCGUCUGUAUCUCUGAUCUCCUGCUUUGCUCUCGUCUCUGUCUGUCAGUGGAGAGAUUGUGAUCACUAAGGACCAGCUGGAGGGUCAAAUCUGAGUGCCGUUCCCCCCCACCGAUGUGUGCGUUUGUGAGCUUAGCGACACCUACGCCGUGCUGAGCUGGACUGAACCGGAUCCGCGGGGCAGAGAGCCUCUCACUUACUCCGUGGAGCGGGAGUUCCCACUCCUCCACACGGCGUCCUGCCCAUCCGAGACACCAACAGCUCAGUCCUACUGCAGUGGAAGGAGCCCAAAAAAACAGAGGGCAUUGUGGGAUACUAUCUGUACUGCAGUGAGGUUGGAAGUGGACAGUGGAAGACCAUCAACAAUAAGCCCAUCACUAAAACCAGGUCUCUUCUUGUAUCCUGUUUAAGAGGCAAUUAAAGGCAUAGUUCACCCAAAAAUAAAACUGUACUGUUAAUUAACUCA
ensembl:lncRNA